CUUCAAUAAUUUUGCAUAAAAACCGGGCCCUAGUUUUUAUAUUGAUUUUACUAUGAACAAUUGAAAUUUCACUAUCAUUUUAAGUGAAGACUAUGAAACAUGUAUUUCAAAUUUAAUGAUACAGUAUAAUCAAAAUUUUCAACCUGCAGUUAUGCAAAAUAUGAGUAAAGUUCGAACACUUCAAUAACCAAACACUUUUAACAAUAGUAAAAUUUAAAAAAGUGCUAAUAAUAUCACAUUGAUUACUUUAGUAGUACAGUAAAAACUUGAUUAUUGUCACUUUUUGUUAUCCGUCAUUGGCCACCAUCUUCUUUGUGAAAAUGCAGAAUAUUGUUGCUCAAAAAACUCAUGCCUCACAAAAAUAGAAGAUGAUGGAUUAUUUUGCUUAGUAUUUUUAGUAUGCUAUUAUUUUUGUCUGCAAAUACAUGUCAAAUAUAUACAUUUAUUAUAAAAUGUCUGUUAACUAUUUAUUCAAUUAACGGUUACAAUCCCAGUCCCGUGACUGACGGUUAAUUCAAUUUCUACUGUAAUUAAUAUUUAAUAAUGAAAAGGUUAGAAAACAAAACAUCUAAAGAAGGACUGUCAGUAUUAAGCAUUAUAGGUAUAAUGUAAUACAAUAGGUAGGUAUAAUUUUAAGUAAAAAUAUGUAAUAAAUAGCAUAUAGUUUACAUGAGUAGUG